rnacentral:rRNA from 1 species
GACGAACGCUGGCGGCGUGCUUAACACAUGCAAGUCGAACGGUAAGGCUCCAGCUUGCUGGGGUACACGAGUGGCGAACGGGUGAGUAACACGUGGGUGACCUGCCCUGCACUUCGGGAUAAGCCUGGGAAACUGGGUCUAAUACCGGAUAGGACCAUGGUGUGGAUACUGUGGUGGAAAGUUUUUUCGGUGUGGGAUGGGCCCGCGGCCUAUCAGCUUGUUGGUGGGGUAAUGGCAUACCAAGGCGGCGACGGGUAGCCGGCCUGAGAGGGUGGAAGGCCACAUUGGGACUGGGACACGGCCCAGACUCCUACGGGAGGCAGGAGUGGGGAAUAUUGCACAAUGGGCGGAAGCCUGAUGCAGCGACGCCGCGUGGGGGAUGACGGCCUUCGGGUUGUAAACUCCUUUCACCAUAGACGAAGGGUUUCUGACGGUAGAUGGAGAAGAAGCACCGGCUAACUACGUG